CAUAUGCACGGUCACAGAGUAAAGAGAAAUUGCAGUUGCUCUUGUGGAAAAAUCCAAGCCCACCCCGUUAAUUGGACCGCGUGGGCUUCCUAGAUCAAUUUGGGCCGACGUUGUCUCUGGACCGAAGCGUCGCGCAAAAUUAAAAAAUCUCUCUGAGCGACCUCCCCGGACGCUGCCGCCUGCCUCUUUCGCCGGCCUCCCUGUACGCCGGCGCGCCGCCCGUCUUCUUGCCCGCAGCGCCUGCAGCAUCCCAACUAGAAGAAAACCGAGCGAAGGCAAGAGCCAAGGGGAGGCGGCGGGUAAAACCGAUGGCGGCGCGCGGGACGAUGUAGUGAGAUCCAAACCCUAGCCCGCCGGCAGGCAUGGUGCUUUGCAGGCGGCGCGACGCCUCCGGCACGAGCUCUUCCCGAUCCGCCUUCGCCUCACCUCUCCAUGACCUUGCAUCAUGAAGAACCUCAUGAUUCCGCUGGUAUUCCGUCUCUACGUACUCCUCACCAGAUGCCCCCUCCCCUCCCCCGCACUCUCUCUUUCAUCGAGUUCAUGUGGUUUGGAUUUCCGGGUGUUCUGUAUGUGCUUGCCUGGAUAAUUUCGAGGAUGACUCUCACCUGCUCCACUAAAUGUUGUUACUGAAUCAGGAACGAGUAAUUUUUUUUUGCUCUUUACGGGUACAGGUAGGUGGCCUUCGCCCCUGACUGUGGGCAGUUAUUUGUUUUUUGAUCCUUAAUUCCUUAUGCUAAGGUAAUGCAUUAGAUUUACUUUCCCUGAUGGUAUUUGCAGAGAAAUAGGUUAAAGGGGCUAAUUUACUCUCUGUGUUUUUAUUGGUUUAGGAAGUGAUAAGCCGAGGGGAGUACAUUGUUCCGGCGCUCAAUGUUGCUUGUUGGCCUCAGAUGGCUCGCAUGACCCCUCUUCCACGUAGGAUGCACUGGCGCUAGGAGCGGCCGCUGGGAGCAGGGCCGAGCGCUGGGGAGCAGAGGAGAGCUGGCUGAGGUGCUGGGGAGAGCAGGGCGCUGGCCGCUGCCAGCUGGUAGCUCGCGAGCGGGGCCGAGCUGGGAGGCAGCCCAAGCCGAGCUGGCAAAAGCGGCUCGUCUGCACUUUGGGCCGAGCCAGUCUUGGCUCGCCGGCGGCGACCGUCUUGGGCCCUGACCUUAGCGUGGAUUUCCCCUCCAUCGCCGCCCUUGCCUUCCCUCGGAGUCUCGCCGGGCCUCUCCGGCUUGCGGGCAGCAGCCAGCAGUGCAUCAUUCGCCUCGCCGGAGCCGCCCUCGCCUUUGCCGUCGAACCCACGGGCCGGAGGAUGGACGACGUGGUUAACGACCCGGAUGCCGCCCUUGCCGGCUUCGGCGGUCCCGGGCUCCGGAGGCGGCUGGACCGUGUCAGCAUGGCUUGCCGUCGUCGAGGUCCGCCGUAGCGAAUCCUGCACCAGCUGAAACAGCCUGCGCAUCCACGACGACAUGUUGUAAUAAACUCAAAUUAAGCUUGAUUUGAGUAUGCUUUGAGAUUGAGGGUAUGUUUGGUUCUCUCCCUCAGCUGGCCUAUUGCUCAGCUAGCCUAGCUAGCUCGUUCCGGCUAUGCUAGCCUUGCUAUGGAUGUAUUUGGUUAAGUUGAUAAGGAUGGCAAGAGCAAGUACGUGAGUCAGGAUAUUAGACGGUUGUUGUAGGAUUUUUUGAGCACGACGUGGGCUUGCCGUCGGAGGCGAGCUAAAUCGGCUCUCUCUCAGGAGCAAACUUUUUC